AGUGAACGCUGGCGGUAGGCCUAACACAUGCAAGUCGAACGGCAGCACAGUAAGAGCUUGCUCUUACGGGUGGCGAGUGGCGGACGGGUGAGGAAUACAUCGGAAUCUACUUUUUCGUGGGGGAUAACGUAGGGAAACUUACGCUAAUACCGCAUACGACCUACGGGUGAAAGCAGGGGAUCUUCGGACCUUGCGCGAAUGAAUGAGCCGAUGUCGGAUUAGCUAGUUGGCGGGGUAAAGGCCCACCAAGGCGACGAUCCGUAGCUGGUCUGAGAGGAUGAUCAGCCACACUGGAACUGAGACACGGUCCAGACUCCUACGGGAGGCAGCAGUGGGGAAUAUUGGACAAUGGGCGCAAGCCUGAUCCAGCCACACCGCGUGGGUGAAGAAGGCCUUCGGGUUGUAAAGCCCUUUUGUUGGGAAAGAAAAGCAGCAGGUUAAUACCCCGCUGUUCUGACGGUACCCAAAGAAUAAGCACCGGCUAACUUCGUG
rnacentral:rRNA from 1 species